rnacentral:lncRNA from 1 species
CUGUAUCAUCCUUGGACAAGUGCAUCCAGUGUGUGGGACCUGGAUCCUCCUCGAAGUGGCUUGGAUAUAAGUGCAAAGUUUGUUUGGGCGUCUGGCAUAAAAAAUGCCUUGAGGGAAUUACAGAUGACCUCCAGCACCAUUCACAGGAGCCACAGUCUUCUAAAUGUGCUGUGGACAAACUGGUGUCAGAUGAGGACAAUUCAGAAGUGGGUAACCUAUCAGAUGAUGAUCACAGCCUGUCUGAUGAGGAGUACAUACCAGACUCGGAGUCACAAAAUGAUGAUU